ACGGGGGGUGCAAGCGUUGUUCGGAAUCAUUGGGCGUAAAGCGCGUGUAGGCGGCUUGACAAGUCAGAUGUGAAAUCCCUGGGCUUAACCCAGGAAGUGCAUUUGAAACUGUCAGGCUAGAGUAAGGGAGAGGAAAGUGGAAUUCCUGGUGUAGAGGUGAAAUUCGUAGAUAUCAGGAGGAACACCGGUGGCGAAGGCGACUUUCUGGCCCUAUACUGACGCUGAGACGCGAAAGCGUGGGUAGCAAACAGGAUUAGAUACCCUGGUAGUCCACGCUGUAAACGAUGUUCACUAGGUGUUGGGGGUAUUGACCCUUUCAGUGCCGCAGCUAACGCGUUAAGUGAACCGCCUGGGGAGUACGGUCGCAAGAUUA
rnacentral:rRNA from 1 species